rnacentral:rRNA from 1 species
GAUGAACGCUGACAGAAUGCUUAACACAUGCAAGUCAACUUGAAUUUGGGUUUUUAACUUAGGUUUGGGUGGCGGACGGGUGAGUAACGCGUAAAGAACUUGCCUCACAGCUAGGGACAACAUUUGGAAACGAAUGCUAAUACCUAAUAUUAUGAUAAUAGGGCAUCCUAUAAUUAUGAAAGCUAUAAGCGCUGUGAGAGAGCUUUGCGUCCCAUUAGCUAGUUGGAGAGGUAACGGCUCACCAAGGCGAUGAUGGGUAGCCGGCCUGAGAGGGUGAUCGGCCACAAGGGGACUGAGACACGGCCAUUACUCCUACGGGAGGCAGCAGUGGGGAAUAUUGGACAAUGGACCGAGAGUCUGAUCCAGCAAUUCUGUGUGCACGAUGAAGUUUUUCGGAAUGUAAAGUGCUUUCAGUUGGGAAGAAACAAAUGACGGUACCAACAGAAGAAGAGACGGCUAAAUACGUG